rnacentral:rRNA from 1 species
GAUCCUGGCUCAGGACUAACGCUGGCGGCGUGCCUAACACAUGCAAGUCGAACGGAACUGUUUUGAAAGAUUUCUUCGGAAUGAAUUUGAUUUAGUUUAGUGGCGGACGGGUGAGUAACGCGUGAGUAACCUGCCUUCAAGAGGGGGAUAACAUUCUGAAAAGAAUGCUAAUACCGCAUGAUAUAUCGGGACCACAUGGUUUUGAUAUCAAAGAUUUUAUCGCUUGAAGAUGGACUCGCGUCCGAUUAG